rnacentral:rRNA from 1 species
AUAUUAAUAAGCGGAGGAAAAGAAACUAACAAGGAUUCCCCUAGUAAUGGCGAAUGAAGCGGGAACAGCUCAAAUUUAAAAUCUCCUAGGAGAAUUGUAGUUUAAAGAAGUGUUUUCGUUGGUAGCCUGGAUAUAAGUCUCUUGGAAUAGAGCAUCAUAGAGGGUGAGAAUCCCGUCUUUGAUUCAGGUACUGCCACAAUUUGAUACACUUUCAAAGAGUCGGGUUGUUUGGGAAUGCAGCCCAAAGUAGGUGGUAUAUUUCAUCUAAAGCUAAAUAUUGGCGAGAGACCGAUAGCGCACAAGUA